rnacentral:rRNA from 1 species
UACGUAGGUGACAAGCGUUAUCCGGAUUUACUGGGUGUAAAGGGCGUGUAGGCGGCUUUGCAAGUCAGAUGUGAAAUUCCCGGGCUUAACCUGGGCGCUGCAUCUGAAACUGCAAAACUUGAGUGCUGGAGGGGAAAGUGGAAUUCCUAGUGUAGCGAUAAAAUGCGCAGAUAUUAGGAGGAACACCGGUGGCGAAGGCGGCUUUCUGGACAGUAACUGACGCUGAGGCGCGAAAGCGUGGGGAGCAAAC